rnacentral:rRNA from 1 species
UACGUAGGAGGCAAGCGUUGUCCGGAAUUACUGGGUGUAAAGCGCGUGUAGGCGGCAGGCCAAGUCUGUGGUGAAAUCGCUCGGCUCAACUGGGCGGGGUCCAUGGAAACUGGUCAGCUGGAGGACGGUAGAGGUGAGUGGAAUUCCCGGUGUAGUGGUGAAAUGCGUAGAGAUCGGGAGGAACACCUGUGGCGAAGGCGGCCGUCUGGGCCGACCCUGACGCUGAGGCGCGAAGGCGUGGGGAGCGAACGGG